rnacentral:rRNA from 1 species
GGUUAAAAGAUGGCUUCUCGCUAUCACUUACAGAUGGGCCCGCGGCGCAUUAGAUUAGUUGGUGAGGUAACGGCUCACCAAGGCAACGAUGCGUAGCCGACCUGAGAGGGUGAUCGGCCACACUGGGACUGAAACACGGCCCACACUCCUACGGGAGGCAGCAGUAAGGAAUCUUCCGCAAUGGACGAAAGUCUGACGGAGCAACGCCGCGUGAACGAUGAAGGUCUUCGGAUCGUAAAGUUCUGUUGUUAAGGAAGAACAAGUGCCGUGCGAAUAGAGCGGCACCUUGACGGUACCUAACGAGGAAGCCCCGGCUAACUACGUGCCAGCAGCCGCGGUAAUACGUAGGGGGCAAGCGUUGUCCGGAAUUAUUGGGCGUAAAGCGCGCGCAGGCGGUUCCUUAAGUCUGAUGUGAAAGCCCACGGCUCAACCGUGGAGGGUCAUUGUAAACUGGGGAACUUGAGGACAGAAGAGGAGAGUGGAAUUCCACGUGUAGCGGUGAAAUGCGUAGAUAUGUGGAGGAACACCAGUGUCGAAGGCGACUCUCUGGUCUGUUUCUGACCCUGAGGUGCGAAAGCGUGCGUAGCAAACAGGAUUAGAUACCCUGGUAGUCCACGCCAUAAACGAUGAGUGCUAGGUGUUAGGGGGCUUCCACACUCUUAGUGCUGAAGUUCACGCAUUAAGCACUCCGUCUGCGCGAGUACGCGCCGCCACGCCUGAAACUCAAAGGGAGUUGGCUGGGGGCCUCGC